GGCCUACGGGAGGCUGCAGUGGGGAAUUUUGGACAAUGGGCGCAAGCCUGAUCCAGCAAUGCCGCGUGAGUGAAGAAGGCCUUCGGGUUGUAAAGCUCUUUUGUCAGGGAAGAAACGGUUGUGGCUAAUAUCCAUGGCUAAUGACGGUACCUGAAGAAUAAGCACCGGCUAACUACGUGCCAGCAGCCGCGGUAAUACGUAGGGUGCAAGCGUUAAUCGGAAUUACUGGGCGUAAAGCGUGCGCAGGCGGUUUUGUAAGUCUGUCGUGAAAUCCCCGGGCUCAACCUGGGAAUUGCGAUGGAGACUGCAAGGCUAGAAUCUGGCAGAGGGGGGUAGAAUUCCACGUGUAGCAGUGAAAUGCGUAGAUAUGUGGAGGAACACCGAUGGCGAAGGCAGCCCCCUGGGUCAAGAUUGACGCUCAUGCACGAAAGCGUGGGGAGCAAACAGGAUUAGAUACCCUUGUAGUC
rnacentral:rRNA from 1 species